rnacentral:rRNA from 1 species
CCGUAGCCCAAGAGAUCGGGAUAACACCUGGAAACAGAUGCUAAUACCGGAUAACAACAGAUGAUGCCUAUCAACUGUUUAAAAGAUGGUUCUGCUAUCACUCCUGGAUGGACCUGCGGUGCAUUAGCUAGUUGGUAGGGUAACGGCCUACCAAGGCGAUGAUGCAUAGCCGAGUUGAGAGACUGAUCGGCCACAUUGGGACUGAUACACGGCCCAAACUCCUACGGGAGGCAGCAGCC